rnacentral:misc_RNA from 1 species
UCGUCAAUAAUUAGUGCUAUAACGAUGAUGUACUGAAAUUAUUAAUAUGAAUUAAUUUUAAAUCAUUCAACAUAGAAACAUAUGCAAUUGAACAGGAUAUAGCUGCAUAAAGCAUUUCCACAUUGCAAUCAGAGAUUCAUUACGAAAAAUUGAUGCUGAAGGAAAAAAGUCGUGGCCGACAGCUGAAGAAAAAUGAUUCGUGCACAUGCCUCGGCUGGAUUAGACCCAAUACAUGUUUAGAAUAGCGCAGCGACCUCCAUCGCCUCGCAGGCAAAGAAAAUAAUCGUUGCUCCAGUUGGAUGUGCGCCAGCAAAUGUAGCUCCUUUUUAAGUUUGCCCUUCGAGCGUAGCCUUGACUUUCAGGCCGUAAAACGUGUGUAUAUCUCUACCCGGUAUCUUGCACCUGCUUCCCAAGGUGUGCAUGCGAAGAAGCUUUUGAUCGUAAGAAAAAUUUGGCCCAGCCGUGAAAGGAUCUUAAUUUAUUUACGAUACGAUGCGCUAUGUGCGGCGGAACCGAUUAUUCCGACACUAUACGCAUCAUUUUGCAGCAGGCCUCCAAGUGUUUUCCCGGACCACACCUUCGCAAAGGGCGUUUUUCGAUAAUGAAUUAUACCGACGAUGCGUUUCCGCGGAAGGACCAUCGUGUACUCCUUUUUAUAAAUUUCACUAAUGGUAUUCCAAAAAUGAUAAGUUAUUUACAUGUUUAAAAAGAUAGUUCACAUAGACAUGAUAUGUUUUCUCCAAUAACAAAGAAUUCUACGUGUAUAUGAUUUAUUGAAAGUUAUUUCAUUCGAUACAUUUUCAUACAAAAAUGUUAAUAAUAAUGAUUAGUAGUAAAAUUGAAAAUUAAGAAGUUCUUUUUAUUUUACAUUUAUUUAAUAAUACUGUGAGAUACCAAAUGAUAAAUUAAAUUUAGUUAGAUACGAUCUAAUUAAUAAAAAUUUCAUGAUUAAUAUUAAGUAUAUUUGGUGUCUUUACUUUUGUAAUUCAAACGAUACAAAGAUACGUACAUAGAUGUAUAACACGUCUGAAGAAUAAAUAGGAUUUUGUUAAUGUACAUGUAAAAAAUACGGUGCAUUAGUUGCAUACGAAAUCACACUUAGUUUAUAUAUUAUUAUAUUCAGUUCAAUUCAUUUUCCUGAUUAGAAUUGGAAACUUUAAAUAUUUGUUAUAAAUACUAUAAAGUUUACACUUUACAUUAUGUUUGAUAAAAAUCCAGUACAAAAAUAUCAUAAUCGUUCUUUCCAUAUGUAAUAUUUCGAUAAAUUAACUCUGUUAGGUAUUAUAAAUUCGAUUUUUUAAAUAUCUUAAUUUCAUUUGUUUUUCGUGUAUGUGUUUCAGUCAUCUUUAAGAAUAUACCUAUUCUAUUUUUAUAAGGGCACUUCUUUAAAGUCUCAAUACAGCACUAAAUAAUGCUAAUACAAUAAAUAUAACAAAAAUAUAUUAAAAUUAUUAAUAUCGUAAUACAUCUUCUAUAUUAUAAUAUAAUAAUUUUAUCAUGUCAUAAACUAAUUUGAAUUCUUUAAAUUAUUGUAGGUUAAUGAUAGCAAAACUCGAUAUAUCCCUUGAUUACAUUGUAAUUUUAAAGAGGCACGUGUAUGU